UACAGUCUUCUCAUUCUAGUCAUGGCCUUGUCAGUGCUGAACGUACACAGCUGUCCGCUUACGUGUUCUUGCAACGCAACGUCCAUAGACUGUCAGAAUCAGCCUCUGGUCUACUUGCCUACAAACCUGCCAAGAAACACAACGUUCUUGUUGCUGGCGAACACUGGAAUAAGCAUUCUCGAAACUUGGAGUUUCGCAAAUAUUUCAAAAGUCCAAGAAAUAGAUCUAUCAGGAAACCUGCUUCAAGUUAUAUCGGCAGGCGUUUUCGUGAACCUCAGCAAUAUCCAAACAAUGUGAGUAUGAAUGCCCUUGGGAGUUACUAUGCCA